rnacentral:rRNA from 1 species
CGCACCGUAAACUAUGGAUACUCUCUGCCGGCGAUAUAUUGUCGGUGGCCAAGCGAAAGCGUUAAGUAUCCCACCUGGGGAGUACGUUCGCAAGAAUGAAACUCAAAGGAAUUGACGGGGGCCCGCACAAGCGGAGGAACAUGUGGUUUAAUUCGAUGAUACGCGAGGAACCUUACCCGGGUUUGAAUUGCUGAUGUCGGUAUUUGGAGACAGAUACUUCCCUUCGGGGCGUCAGUGAAGGUGC